rnacentral:tRNA from 5 species
CGGGGUGUAGCGCAGGUGGUAGCGCGCAUGGUUCGGGACUAUGAGGCCGGAGGUUCGAAUCCUCUCACUCCGA